rnacentral:lncRNA from 1 species
CAUUCUGGAUUUCUGCUUGCCUGACAUUCUUUGUGUUCUGAUUGGCAGCUGAAACCGCACACUGUUUCUUGGGGAUGCUUCUCAGCAGCCAUGCCUGCAAUUAAGAGAGAAAAGCAAUUCAAUUUGGAAAGGCUGCUUCCCCGACAUCUUCAAAGCAGGCCUUGCAGUUGAAGUGUAUGGUCACCAGGUGGUGAGAGCGUGCUGUGGCUGGGAACAGCAACCAGGAAGCCAAGCUCACAGGCACCCAGGAGGAGACACUACCCUCUUGUGACACGUCUAGGAAAGAACUCGUACUCUAAAGGAACGGGCACCCAACUUCCAUCUGUCACCACCUGGGCUAUGAGCCACAAUAUAUUUGUACUUGGAGCACUGUACCUACUUGAGCCCUGUGCUCAGCAGCAAUGUAAACAACCAGUCAGCAGCAAAAAUAACAAAACCUGUUUUAGAAAAACAAGAGGGGAUAGUAAGUAGUCUAAGAAGCUGAGCCUGAGAGACUCAGAGUUGAACAAGCCAGAUCCUUAUCUUGUUGGACUUGAAGAAGUAGGAACAGAGGAGGACACUCUCUACCCCCACCCCUAC